rnacentral:rRNA from 1 species
GACGAACGCUGGCGGCGUGCCUAACACAUGCAAGUCGUACGGAGUUCACUUGGAAGCUUGCUUCCGAGUGAACUUAGUGGCGGACGGGUGAGUAACGCGUGAGCAACCUGCCUCACAGAGGGGGAUAACACACGGAAACGUGUGCUAAUACCGCAUAAUCCGAUGAAGCGGCAUCGCUUUAUCGGCAAAGGAGCAAUCCGCUGUGAGAUGGGCUCGCGUCCGAUUAGAUAGUUGGUGAGGUAACGGCUCACCAAGUCUACGAUCGGUAGCCGGACUGAGAGGUUGGACGGCCACAUUGGGACUGAGACACGGCCCAAACUCCUACGGGAGGCAGCAGUGAGGGAUAUUGCACAAUGGGCGAAAGCCUGAUGCAGCGACGCCGCGUGAGGGAUGACGGGUCUUCGGAUUGUAAACCUCUGUCCUUGGUGAAGAAGAAAGUGACGGUAGCCAAGGAGGAAGCCACGGCUAACUACGUGCCAGCAGACCC